rnacentral:rRNA from 2 species
GAAGGUGGCCUGUGAGGGCUGCUGGAGGUAUCAGAAGUGCGAAUGCUGACAUAAGUAACGAUAAAGCGGGUGAAAAGCCCGCUCGCCGGAAGACCAAGGGUUCCUGUCCAACGUUAAUCGGGGCAGGGUGAGUCGACCCCUAAGGCGAGGCCGAAAGGCGUAGUCGAUGGGAAACAGGUUAAUAUUCCUGUACUUGGUGUUACUGCGAAGGGGGGACGGAGAAGGCUAUGUCAGCCGGGCGACGGUUGUCCCGGUUUAAGCGUGUAGGUGUGUGUUCCAGGCAAAUCCGGUUCACUUUAACACUGAGGCGUGAUGACGAGGCACUACGGUGCUGAAGUGAUAAAUGCCCUGCUUCCAGGAAAAGCCUCUAAGCAUCAGGUAACACGAAAUCGUACCCCAAACCGACACAGGUGGUCAGGUAGAGAAUACCAAGGCGCUUGAGAGAACUCGGGUGAAGGAACUAGGCAAAAUGGUGCCGUAACUUCGGGAGAAGGCACGCUGAUAUGUAGGUGAAGCCCCUGCGGG